rnacentral:tRNA from 1 species
CGGGGUGUAGCUCAGCUUGGCAGAGCGCUUCGUUCGGGACGCAGAGGCCGUGGGUUCAAAUCCCGCCACCCCGA